rnacentral:rRNA from 1 species
UACGAAGGUGGCAAGCGUUGUUCGGAUUUACUGGGCGUACAGGGAGCGUAGGCGGUUGGAUAAGCCCUCCGUGAAAUCUCCAGGCUUAACCUGGAAAGUGCAGAGGGGACUGUUCAGCUAGAGGAUGGGAGAGGAGCGCGGAAUUCCCGGUGUAGCGGUGAAAUGCGUAGAGAUCGGGAGGAAGGCCGGUGGCGUAGACGGCUUUCUGGACCGUAACUGACGCUGAGACACGAAAGCGUGGGUAGCAAACAGG